CCUACGGGCGGCAGCAGUGAGGAAUAUUGGUCAAUGGGCGCGAGCCUGAACCAGCCAAGUAGCGUGCAGGAUGACUGCCCUACGGGUUGUAAACUUCUUUUAUAAAAGAAUAAAGUGAGGCACGUGUGCCUUUUUGUAUGUACUUUAUGAAUAAGGAUCGGCUAACUCCGUGCCAGCAGCCGCGGUAAUACGGAGGAUCCGAGCGUUAUCCGGAUUUAUUGGGUUUAACGGGUGCGUAGGCGGAGCGUUAAGUUAGUGGUAAAAUUGCGGGGCGAAACCCCUUCCCGCCAUUGAAACUGGCGCGCUUGAGUGGAAGAGAAGUAGGCGGAAUGCGUGGUGUAGCGGUGAAAUGCAUAGAUAUCACGCAGAACCCCGAUUGCGAAGGCAGCAUGCCGGCUUACUACUGACGUUGAAGCACGAAAGCGUGGGGAUCGAACAGGAUUAGAUACCCGUGUAGUC
rnacentral:rRNA from 1 species